GCCGUGUGCCAGUCAGCGUGGGAGAGGAUCCGGCUCCUUGUCACUCCCGGAGCUGAUACAUGGGAAUCUUGCCCUCCUUCCUCUCCGCUCUGCCUUCUCUCGACAUCACGUGUGUGGGAGGGGGUAAACGAAGGCGGGGAGGAUUUAAGGGAAAUGUGAGAAGUGAGUGAAAUUAUCUGAAAGUCUGAGAUAUUCUCCGAGAUUAAUCCCUCCUGUCGGGAAGGGGGUGGACUUUUGGACCACAGCCUGCGUUGUACGUGCGUGCUGUUUUUGUGCAGGGAGUAAUUGCAAUACGUAGCAUAAAAUGAUGUUAGUGCGGUAUAGGAGAGCAGCCCCCCCUGUGCCAUUGAAGAGCCCGUGGAGGAGUUCAGGAGUGACAGCCUCUCACGGCAGCGACAGAAAGGAGGGGUGGCUCCCAGCCCACUGAACUUCUCUCUUCCACGGUUCCACAGUGCAGCGCUCCUGUUCCUGGGUGUGUCAGCUCCGUAUCACGAGCCUUCUGCCAUCUGUUUAUUCAGUCUUGGGAGAGUUCAAGCACUGCACCUUCAGCUGUAUGGUAUUGAACAGUCAUUCCACAGUCUUACCACCACUGGGUAGUCUGGAGUAUUUUUGUUCCAUGAAGUGUCUGGACCACUUAGAAUGAUGAUCAAUCCUGGAAAACUCACAAGAGGUUCACAGUUUGCACAGAUGUACUUGAAGAUUAAAAGUGAAGGUGGGAGCAGACAGCAGAGAAGAGCUGUUAAAUGGCCAAGUAAACCAGCUGAAUUUUAAGGUGGAUAGAAUGCUGUUCCAGAUGAAGAGUGUGAUGUGGAGAGGAACAGAGAAGGAGUCCAGAAGGAGAAAAGUACAACGAAGUACAGGAGAAAAUAAUCUUUGCAAAGGUUCAGUGAGAAGGAAAAAGAACUGAAAUUUCUUGCAGCAAGGGAGAAAAUGAGUGAAAGGAUUUGAAGAUAAAAGUAACUUGGAUGAGAAGAGUGCUUUUGAUAGGUGAAUUUUUCCUAGUCUGGAUAGCAAGAAGCAAGUGAAUUUUCUCCUGCUCUGAAUCAGUGGGUGUUGGAGAGAUUUACAAAGCCUGAUAAAACACCAUUGCCUGCAGCAGCUCACUGCCAUUUAAUCUCCCCACCAUGAAAAGAACUUUGAGAGUUUCUGAACUGUUCAGGAUCAUAAAGAGAGGAUCAGGAAGCAGAAGCCAGGUUCUUUGUGUCUGCCACAAAGGUGAAUUUUAGUGUGUCCUGUUUUGAAUUUUGUGGAGAAACAAAUGAUUGGAAGGUAAAGGGAUUCUAAAAUAGUCCUAAGGUUUGUGAUAAGGUAAAAUGAGUCUGACAUAUAACAUCCUUUCUCCUGUCUUAGGACUUGCCUUCACUGUAGAAAUUUACAACUUUAAAGUGACACAGUGGCAGCACCACAGUGGAUGAACACAAACGUGGAUGUAGCCCUCUGCAAAGAUGCUGGUCAAAGACAAAACAGAAUAGAUGAUUUCAUUUGGAAGGGACCUACAAUUAUCAUCUUGUCCAUCUGCCUGCCCAGUUCAGGGCUGACUAAAUUGAAGCAUAUUAUUACAGCCAUUGUUCAAAUGGCUUUUAAACACUAACAGGCUUAGGGCCCAGCCUCACACCAGUAAGAAGAGUUUAUGUCAUUGACCUUGCUUUAGAGACUGCAGGAAUGUGAAACCUGACUUUUCCUCGUUCUGCUGAAGAUAAGGAGUUUUUUCAUUAAAGGAAGAAGUUAAUCCCUCUUCCCCUUCCUAGGGUUUUUGAGCAUUAUGUUAUCUAGGGAGACCCAAAAUGAAAAUGCUGUAAGAACUUGGAAAAAAAAAAAAAAAUCACAUGCCAUUCUAUCUAAUUAUAUUUCACUUGUUGAUUUUUGAUGUUAUAAACUUAGGUUUCAUUCUGUGUAGAGUCAAGUUAAAAAUAAAUGGGCAGAAUGUGAAUAUUUGAUUAAAAAUGCUAAUUUCCACAGUUUGUUCUCUCUCCAUCUUACUACUUAGAAGCUGCUCUCAACCCUCCUUUCUUCAGCAAUGCAGACUUUGUAAUGAAGGCAGUUCAAACUCAGUGUUUCCAUUCCAAAGGAGUUACAGACCAAGCAAAUUUUCUCUAACUACUUGACAGCUCCUCAAAAGGCCUAGCAAUGCCACCCCGAAUCACACAAUAUUUGGUGUUUCUUUAGAACCUUGUCCCCUGAGGGCCUUGAUUAGAGGAGAAUCUUUACUUCUUGCAGGAAAGGAAAAAAUGUAACUCUUACGGCUGUGGAGCAGGACUUGAAGAUAAUGAUCCUGUCUCAAAAGUAAAAAAAAAAAAAAAAAAGAGGCGGUGGG